GGAGUCGGCCGGAUGAUCGCGGCCCCGACAGGGGCGGAGGAAAGUCCGGGCUCCACAGGACAGGGUGCCAGGUAACGCCUGGGGGGCGCGAGCCUACGGAAAGUGCAACAGAAAAGAUACCGCCGGUCCUUCGGGUCCGGUAAGGGUGAAAUGGUGCGGUAAGAGCGCACCGCGUCACUGGUAACAGGGGCGGCACGGCAAACCCCACCCGGAGCAAGACCAAAUAGGAGAGCAGUCGGCGCAAGCCGCAACGUGUGGUCCGCACGGCUCUCGGGUAGGUCGCUUGAGGCGCGCGGCGACGCGUGACCCAGAUGAAUGAUCGUCCUCGACAGAACCCGGCUUACAGGCCGGCUCCCACC
rnacentral:RNase_P_RNA from 8 species